GGAGAGAGCCGGCGCGGCCCACGGGCGGCCUGGGGAAGGGCGGGGCGGGAGCGCAGGACGCCUGCUGCCCGGGCAGGUACUGGACGAAGCAGGAGGGGAAAGGCAGGCAAGACUGGCCGCUCGCGUGAGGACAGAGGGAGAGAAGCUUGUUCUUCUGAAUCGUUUCUGAAAGAAGGACCAAAGUCAUGCCAAGAACUCCCAGAUGAAGAGGACCUUCGUGGAUCUGUAACUAGGAUUAACCAAUUCUUUACUUCAAGAAAAAGUUUCAACGAAUUCUGAGGAUAAAGCCAAACAGGCCGGUGACUGUCCCUUGAGUACUGAGUGUAAACAAGCUUCUGGCUCCUCCAGGUCAAGCAGAGAAACUCUUCUCAUUAGAAUGUUGGGUUUCUUCUUUGUUAUUCAAACGUACACCCACACAUAUCCUCUUCACCCUCCCUAAUGAAAAACCUCAACAGAUGGAGAGCCUAGGCUCCCAAGACUUAUGGCUGAGGAAAUGCACUUCACUCAAGGGGGCCAGGACUACUCUUCAGACCUUUCUUCUGCAACUACCCCACACCCCUGGCUAGCUCAGUUGGGUCUCUUUACCCCACUCCAGGCUGGAUCCUGAGUUUCUCCUGGUAGCCAGGGCAAGCUCUCCCUCUGCCUAAAUCUCUUUACCCACCCCCACUUCCCAUUCUUCAGUGGGCAAUUCGUGCAGCCUCCUCCCUACCCUGCUUUAAUUCACGUUUGAUUGCCUGGACAGAACAACCAGGGGCUCCCAAACGGCUGCCACCCCCAUCCAUGGGCCUGGGUUUUAGACUCUGAGCCCUUUUCUUCAAGCCUCAGGAGGAUCCCCCACAACCUCCCUGACCCCUCUCCUCCCGCCCCCUCCACCCUUCAGCGGUCUCUGUAGGGAAAAAAAUUAAAAGGAGCUGAUCAAGGCCUGAGCCAAAGAGCCACUUCCUCCCCUGGAGCAGCAAACGAGGUACACCUCCCAGAGACCAAUGCCCAAAGCGAAGCCCAACCCUUCCUCCAGGCGUAGGCCCUCCGGUGCUAUUGUGAGGCCUUACCCGAAGC